rnacentral:tRNA from 2 species
GGUAGCGUGUCCGAGCGGCCUAAGGAGCACGCCUCGAAAGCGUGUGUGGGUGCAAGCCCACCGUGGGUUCGAAUCCCACCGCUACCGCCA